UGCAGUCGAGCGAACUGAUUAGAAGCUUGCUUCUAUGACGUUAGCGGCGGACGGGUGAGUAACACGUGGGCAACCUGCCUGUAAGACUGGGAUAACUUCGGGAAACCGAAGCUAAUACCGGAUAGGAUCUUCUCCUUCAUGGGAGAUGAUUGAAAGAUGGUUUCGGCUAUCACUUACAGAUGGGCCCGCGGUGCAUUAGCUAGUUGGUGAGGUAACGGCUCACCAAGGCAACGAUGCAUAGCCGACCUGAGAGGGUGAUCGGCCACACUGGGACUGAGACACGGCCCAGACUCCUACGGGAGGCAGCAGUAGGGAAUCUUCCGCAAUGGACGAAAGUCUGACGGAGCAACGCCGCGUGAGUGAUGAAGGCUUUCGGGUCGUAAAACUCUGUUGUUAGGGAAGAACAAGUACGAGAGUAACUGCUCGUACCUUGACGGUACCUAACCAGAAAGCCACGGCUAACUACGUGCCAGCAGCCGCGGUAAUACGUAGGUGGCAAGCGUUAUCCGGAAUUAUUGGGCGUAAAGCGCGCGCAGGCGGUUUCUUAAGUCUGAUGUGAAAGCCCACGGCUCAACCGUGGAGGGUCAUUGGAAACUGGGGAACUUGAGUGCAGAAGAGAAAAGCGGAAUUCCACGUGUAGCGGUGAAAUGCGUAGAGAUGUGGAGGAACACCAGUGGCGAAGGCGGCUUUUUGGUCUGUAACUGACGCUGAG
rnacentral:rRNA from 2 species